AGAAUGUCUUACAAAGAAUGCAAGACGAUGGCCUCAUCAGCAGAGAUUGAUGCCAUAACUGAAUUGGUAGAUGUCGAGAUCCCUAAGUAAGAAGACUCGAGACCACAGCAGCGAUCCUGCUCUUGCCACACUUCUUCAAUGAGGACCAAUGAUGUCCUUGACAAGAUUUCCCUACUCCUUUACUGCACAUCGGCGGAAAUCCAUUUCACCAUGAGAGUGAAAUCAUGCUGGCCUUUGAUGGGGAGAAUAUCCACGCCCUCAAGGACAUCCCCAUGGUACUUGGGGCUCUGCUAGGGCUGUAUUUUUUAAUUUUCAGUUAAAUUUCCCAAAAAUGUCAGAAAAACACUUAUGUUCUUAAGCUACUGUGUUCUGGGGAUAAGAGAAGUUGGGGUGAAGUUACCAGGGCCGUUCAUAAAGAUGGCAAACGUGCAAACUUCCUCACGUAACUUAGUGGUUGUUGGGCAAGUGGUUGUUGGACACGCACACAAAAGCAAAAAAAGCUGUAUUUAGCAUCAAGUCUACAAUAUUGUUAG